rnacentral:misc_RNA from 1 species
GAUGAAGAACGUAGCGAAAUGCGAUAAGUAAUGUGAAUUGCAGAAUUCCGUGAAUCAUCGAAUCUUUGAACGCACAUUGCGCCCGCGAGUAUUCUCGCGGGCAUGCCUGUCCGAGCGUCAUUUCAACCCUCAGGGCCCGCCUGCUUCGGCAGGCGCGGCGCUGGUGUUGGGGAUCGGCCUAACCGCCGUCCCCCAAAUACAGUGGCGGUCUCGCUGCAGCCUCCCCUGCGUAGUAGCAACACUCGCAUGCGGAGAGCGGCGCGGCCACGCCGUAAAACCCCCGACUUUCUGAACGUUGACCUCGGAUCAGGUAGGAAUACCCGCUGAACUUAAGCAUAUCAAUAAGCGGAGGA